rnacentral:misc_RNA from 1 species
CAACCCUCAGGCCCCGCCUGGUGUUGGGGACCUGCGCCUGCAGCCCCCGAAAGACAGCGGCGGGCUCGUCCCGGUCCCGAGCGUAGUAGCACACGUCGCUCCGGGUGCCGGGCGGGCUCCUGCCGUAAGCCUAUUCUCUCAAGG